UUCUAUCAACAAAUGUUGUGAAACUCUUAUUUUGAAGCAUCAGCUGAGCCCAUUGGCUGAGGCCCAGUGUGUUAUUAUUGUACAUAGGCCUACGCUAGCGCAUUCACAAUACAAUUCAUGACAGAAGGACAAUGAUAUUUGUAAGUUACUUGUUUAACUAGGCUAUAAUGUCUAGUCUUAUUUCUAACAAGACCAAGAUUUAAUUUACUGGAUCCUUGGAACGUGAAGCUACCAGCUGGCUCGCACCGCGCGCACGGAAUGCUUUGAGUAGACAAAAGUCCGUUGGGCUACUUUGUUACCAGAACGACGGAGGCGAAGCUCAACCUGCGUGUCCAGUUGGUCUUGUGAAGACGUUGCCCGAUGGUUGGAGGAUAAUGGAUUAGGGGAGCAUCAGGCAAUAUUCAGAGAGAAUCUAAUCGAUGGCGAGACUCUCCUCUCAUUGAGUGAAAGGAUGAUAGACAAAUUACUCCCCCUCAUUAAAACUCAAGUUCAGUUUACUAAGUUACUUGAUAAAUUAAAAGGAAAAUCACAUACAGUCACUGUAAGCUCUCCACAGGAAAGACCACAUUUUGAAUUGAACUUAAAUAAUAGUGUAUAUAGUUUUCAACUUCCUGCUUUUCCGCCUCUCCUGAGGAAAAAACUCUCAGAGGAGAGUCCAGACUUCCAUACUCCAGCAUACAGAUCAAAAUGGAGGUCGCAAAUUAUACAAGUCCUCUUUGACUCAAUUUGUUUGUAUACAUGGUACCCAAGUAGUAAACAAUAUAAUGGCAUUUGUGGUGCUCUUGUGACAAAGUACCCUUUUUUACGUGAUCGAACAGGACAAGGUUAUUUGGUUGGGAAUGCUUAAAAACAAGUUUAAAAAAGAGCGAAUCCCACUGAACAAUCCCGACAUUGAAUACUACAGAGCAAAACAUGGGGGGAAAAAUUUUAAACAAUACAGGCAAGUCAGGCUCUUACAAGCCAAGUGGCAGACCAGACGCCUGCUUUCCAGGAUGUGAUUGAAGACGUAGUACCAAAUGCAGUUUUUCAACAUGACAAGGAAAAUGAAGAUCCAUAUAGUGUUGGGAAGCAUAUUGCAAAAAUGAAGGAGGAGUGUAAGAAAGUCCAUCCAAACAUUACCAUCUUAAAGGAUAAAAUGAAAAGGACAACACAUGAAAGAAUGGAGUUUAUCCAGAGUCACUCUACCAGGGAGUCAUUACUGGAAUCCCCUGCAUUAAAUCAGAUUUUCUCAGAAAUUGAAGAGAGAUAUAAAGUUGACCUGGACAAGAUGCUGCUGCACGGCCUGGGGAGGGCAGCAGGGAAGAUUAUUGAGCAGGUGUCAAAAAAGAAGCAGGGAACUAACAUUCUUUCCGAAUACGAGAUGGCACUGGGUGAAGCUUGCGAGGAGACUCACAAAGGACUCAAAAUUUGUGCUGCAGCACUCAUGCUCCCGCACCUGUUCAACAAGAACCCUGACAAGCUGUAUGUGAUUGAUAAGGUGCCCAGGGCUCCAACUCCUCUCCUGGUGGUGGAUGGCAACCCUUUUGGAGAUUGUAGCAUAACCCUAACAAUGGACGGCGUUUCUAUAGCACACCCUGAUGACAUCACAAUGGGUAUUGCAGCAUUACUGGGGACAUACUUCAUUUUCAGAGUGAAAUACGCUCAAAAUAUAAAAAAGACACUUGCAUUCCUCCAGAUAGCAUCAGGAAUUACAUCACAAGAAAAAAUAAAUCCAACGGUGGUUAGAAUGGCCAAUGCCUUACUGUAAGAUUAUUGUAUUUACCCUUGCAUGUAUAUAUUAUUUUAUUUAUUGUAUUUAUUAUUGUAUUGUAUUUAUCAAUAAAUAUCUGAUUUAACAAA